rnacentral:rRNA from 1 species
UACGUAGGGCGCAAGCGUUGUCCGGAAUCAUUGGGCGUAAAGAGCUCGUAGGCGGCCUGUCGCGUCCGCUGUGAAAUCCCGGGGCUUAACCCCGGGCGUGCAGUGGAUACGGGCUGGCUGGAGGCAGGCAGGGGGAGAACGGAAUUCCCGGUGUAGCGGUGAAAUGCGCAGAUAUCGGGAGGAACACCGGUGGCGAAGGCGGUUCUCUGGGCCUGUACUGACGCUGAGGAGCGAAAGCGUGGGGAGCGAACAGGGAUAGAAACCCCGUGGUCGCAGA